AUCUAGCCAUGCSGCGUGAGUGACGARGGCCUWAGGGUCGUAARGCUCUUUCAGCUGUGAAGAUAAURACGGUAGCAGCAGAAGAAACCCCGGCUAACUCCGUGCCAGCAGCCGCGGUAAUACGGAGGGGGUUAGCGUUGUUCGGAAUUACUGGGCGUAAAGCGCGCGUAGGCGGACUAUUAAGUCAGAGGUGAAAUCCCGGGGCUCAACCCCGGAACUGCCUUUGAUACUGGUAGUCUUGAGUUCGAGAGAGGUGAGUGGAAUUCCGAGUGUAGAGGUGAAAUUCGUAGAUAUUCGGAGGAACACCAGUGGCGAAGGCSGCUCACUGGCUCGAUACUGACGCUGAGGUGCGAAAGCGUGGGGAGCAAA
rnacentral:rRNA from 1 species